rnacentral:rRNA from 1 species
GAUGAACGCUGGCGGCGUGCCUAAUACAUGCAAGUCGAGCGAACAGACGAGGAGCUUGCUCCUCUGACGUUAGCGGCGGACGGGUGAGUAACACGUGGAUAACCUACCUAUAAGACUGGGAUAACUUCGGGAAACCGGAGCUAAUACCGGAUAAUAUAUUGAACCGCAUGGUUCAAUAGUGAAAGACGGUUUUGCUGUCACUUAUAGAUGGAUCCGCGCCGCAUUAGCUAGUUGGUAAGGUAACGGCUUACCAAGGCAACGAUGCGUAGCCGACCUGAGGGGUGAACGGGCACCCUGGAACUUGAGCACGGUUCCGACUCCUACGGGGAGGAACAGUAGGGAAAUCUUCGCAAUGGGCGAAAGCCUGACGGAGCAACGCCGCGUGAGUGAUGAAGGUCUUCGGAUCGUAAAACUCUGUUAUUAGGGAAGAACAAAUGUGUAAGUAACUAUGCACGUCUUGACGGUACCUAAUCAGAAAGCCACGGCUAACUACGUG